rnacentral:tRNA from 1 species
GUCCCCGUAGCUCAGCGGAUAGAGCGCUUGGUUGCGGACCAAGAGGCCGCAGGUUCAAAUCCUGCCGGGGAUGCAA